rnacentral:misc_RNA from 1 species
AACACGGCCUCAGUCACUGACUCAUGCUUCAGUGGAAAUGUCACUUCUGCGUGCGUCUGCCUCACAGACUUAACAAUCACUUAAAUCUCGUAAUUAACUUUUCUCAUUGUCUAUAAAUCAAUACGCCCACAAUUGCCCUAAGGGUUCCGUUUAAAAACGGACUGAAACACGAAGAAAGUUUCUUUGCAAACUUUAUCAGGGAUAUUUCCCUGCUUGUAGUUACAUCCAGUGGAAGAUCAAAACUCAGCGAUGUCAUCAACGGAGCAACUGGCGAUUGUCCAAUCGAAAUUCACGUCGGGUGAAACAGUAGUUAUUGCAAUGGAAACGCCAUUAAUCCAAGGAUGGUUGAGAGCAGCCAGAAUAUUAGCUCUAGUCAACAAAGGUUCCACACAUGCCUUAGUCAUCUUACUCACAUCGAGAACUCCGCCUAGAGUGUUUAGUGAUCUCACCAUCGAAAGAGUUCUUCCCAUCGAUCAAGACUUCAAAUGCGACAUCAAUACAGAUGAGACACAACCAGAUGGGUCGGAUGUGUUUUUGAACGUGUCUUCUCGGAAGCUUCAAUUGGUGUUUGAGAUGAAACCAGGAGUAGCAACCAGUGCCUUAGUCUCAGAGAUAUUCCGAGCUUUUGAUGAUUACCAAAAGAGUAAGAGUCCACCGACGGAAUAUCUAUGGAUCCAGAAACUGACUGGUAGUUCAAGGAACUUGGAGUCUUCUGCCAACGAUGCCCAGGACGGGUCUGAUCCUUUGGUCGAACUGGAAAGCCCCGAUCUUGUCGUUCCAAGACAGAACAUUGCCAAGGGUAAAGCGCCAGUGGCGGCAAGGGAAUCUGUCGUUCGUUAUCAGAUGGCUUGUAAAGAGGAAGACUACACCUACACUCAAGUCUUCAGAAUGUUUAUAGGUACGUGGAAUGUUAAUGGCCAACCACCAAAUGGUAUAUCUUUGGAACAGUGGCUCAGCUGCGAUCAAAAGCCACCGGAUUUGUAUGCCAUAGGAUUUCAAGAACUAGAUUUGAGCAAAGAAGCGUUUCUUUUCAAUGAUACACCACGGGAAGAGGAAUGGUGCCAAGUCGUCACCAAAUAUCUUCACCCGCUGGGAAAUUACCGUCGGAUAGCUGUAGUCAGAUUAGUGGGCAUGAUGCUAAUCGUCUUUGCUGAAGAGAAACAUGUUCCAUUUAUUAAAAGUGUGUCUACCGAUACCGUUGGUACUGGAAUCAUGGGUAAAAUGGGAAACAAAGGCGGAGUGGCUCUGAGCUGUUCAAUUCACAACACAUCCGUGUGUUUUGUGAAUGCCCACUUGGCCGCGCAUUGCGAAGAAUACGAAAGGCGUAAUCAAGAUUAUGCAGAUAUCUGUGCAAGGCUUAGUUUCGCAAGAUACGUUCCACCGAAAGCUCUCAAGGACCACGAUCAAAUAUACUGGCUCGGCGAUCUAAAUUAUCGAAUAACUGAAAUGGAGGCAUCUGUUGCAAAGCAUUAUAUAUCAAUUGACAAUUUUGAGCCUGUUCUUGCCUUUGACCAAUUGGUGCAACAGCGCCAGCUAGGCAAAGUGCUUCAAGGCUACCACGAGGCCGAAAUUAAAUUUAAACCCACAUACAAGUACGAUCCAGGCACAGAUAACUGGGACUCAAGUGAAAAGGGUAGAGCUCCAGCCUGGUGCGAUCGAAUUCUUUGGAAAGGAGAUGCUAUCUUGCCAAUAGAAUAUAGAAGUCACUCCGAAUUGAAGAUUUCGGACCACAAACCUGUCAGCACGAUCUUUGAUUCUCAAAUCAGAGUAAUAGACAUGGUUAAUUAUCGGAAAAUACUUGAAGAGGUAAUGAAGAAAUUGGACAAAUUGGAGAACGAAUUUUUACCUCAAGUGAUGGUUGAUACAACUGAGAUUAUCUUUGACACACUCAAAUUCUUCGAAUCGAGUAAAAAAGAGCUAAUUAUUGCAAAUACUGGCCAGGUUCCUGUUCAAUUCGAGUUCAUAAAGAAGCUCGAUGAUAUAAACUAUUGCAAAGAGUGGUUAAAGAUAGAGCCCUACACAGGCUUUAUAAAGCCAGGUGAAAAAUGUGACAUUCAGCUUGAAGUACACGUUGACAAAAAGUCUGCGUGCAAAUUAAACUCUGGCGAAGAUAAACUGUAUGAUAUUCUCGUUCUACAUCUUGAAGGGGGCAAGGAUAUAUUCAUCACAGUUACAGGCACUUAUCAAAGAAGUUGCUUCGGAUCAUCGAUGGAAGCUCUAGUUCAUAUUGAUGUUCCAGUAAGGGAAAUUCCCGUCGGAAGAUUAAUAGAGUUGGAAAACCAUAAAAACCUAACGGCAGAACCAUAUCCCAUACCAAAAGAGAUCUGGCUUCUAGUCGACAACCUUUACAGGCAUGGAAUAAAAACAAAACAACUCUUUGAAAGUCGUGGAUACCACUCCGAGAUCAUUGCUAUAAGGGAUUGGUUAGACGAGGGGAGUCAGGAGUCUAUGCCUGGCUCUGUACAUUCCGUAGCUGAAGCAUUUUUGCUACUUCUGGAGUCAACAGCCGAACCUUUAGUUCCAUAUAAUCUACACAAUGUCUGCUUGACCGCGGCUACAAACUACUCACAAUGCAAACAGAUUGUGAUGCAGUUGCCAGAAAUUAGAAGAACUGUUUUUAUUUACAUUUGUUGUUUCUUGCAAGAAAUUUUAAAUCACACGCAGGAUAAUUUUCAAGAUGCCAAAACACUCGCUAGUUUGUUCGGUUCUAUUUUCUUACGUGAUCCACCAAGAAGUCGAGAUGAUCGAAGUCAACGGAGUAGAGCAAGUCAAGUGACAUUUGAUCGCAGGAAAGCAGCAUUUGUCUACCAUUUUAUGGUCAAUGAUCAAAGUGACUUCAUUCUAGGGCGAUAAAUCUACAUAAUAAUCUACCCAGGUAGAAAAUGAACUUGCCAAAUUGGCGGUAUCCACGAAUACCUCAUUCGGUUGAACUUCGGCCACUUGAAUAACGCAUGCGUAAUUACAUAAUGAUAUACAUCAGCAUUUCCAAACAAAGGUUUUUAAAAUAGGAAAAUUCAGUUGCCAAGAGAAAAUUAGAAUGAAACAAAUUUAUGGAAAAACACUGAGAAAACAAUGUUUCCUUAAAUUUAUAACCUACUAUGGGAAAUUUUCGAUUCUAUUUGUGCGUCGGUAAGUUCGAAAUGAAUAUCAGAUAGAGCUUACAGAAAGCGUAUUUUGAAACGAGUUGUGCGAACUCGUAAAGAAGUUUUUAUAUUUUUUACGCAACAUGUUAGUUGUACAACUAGCAUAUCACACUUGUCUAGCAGUAAGAAUUUUUACAAAUCAAAUCAGGCCUCUAACUUUGUGCAAAAAAAAGACAAUUUGAAUAUGAAACUGAUUUUUCCAUUACGAGUAAGAAAAUUGCUUUCUUUUCGUGCAGCUUGCGCUAUUUAUUCAUAAUUAAGAUAUCUAUUCAUAGCUGUGCUCUGUAUAAGACUUGCUUUCAGUAAAACACUUUGAAGCAUUUAAGAAUUCUAAUAUUAUAAAGCUUAAACAUUCAGCGAUUAUAAAUAUGCGUGCAAUAUUUAGCUACGUGAGGCAUAGUGGAGCAAAUUAGAAUAAUUUACGUAUUCGACUAUUUGAUCAGUGAUAUAUCACGUUUUAUACUGGAUGAUAAUAUUAUAAUUUAUUACAAAAAUGUAGUUGCUAUUUAAAUCAGAGGAAUCUGUACUUUUUGCUGUAUAAUAUUCAGCAAUCACAGUAGAGGUUGAAAAAUUUUUCCCAUGUAUCUACUAGUUGAAUAUUUUCUGCUGUGCCUUUGAUUUUAAUCCAUUGUCUCGAUCAUUGAAACUUUGUCUUUUUGGGACUACUGUCUUCUGCUGCCACUGAAUUGUAAGCAGUGGAGCUGCCAAGAACAAUAUAAUCAUCUCAAAUGUUUUUGAAACUUAGUCAGACUAAGGUCAACGUAGAUCGUGAAUAAAAAACAUUGGGUUAGUCCAAAGAGGAUAAUUAAUUUUUCUAAUAUUGUUACUCAACUUCAUAGAACGUUUUGCAUUUGUGUAUGUCAAUCAUCUCAUUUCAAGAGCAUUGCCUUUUACGUAAUUUCAUUCAUUGUCAGAUUAUUGUGAUGAUAUGUAAACAUGAAUGUAACGAUCAUGGCUCUUUUUACCAAACUUAUAAUCAGUAAUCACGGUGACAGUCGUUUUAAUUUUCGAACGUUUUUUUUUUUUUUUAAGUGAACCACAUUUGUUGUUUACAAUUGCUAGCAGAUUUGGUAAUAAUUUUACAACUCCCUUCCUAAAAAUUACUACCGCACUACUAGGGUAUUUGUUUCUUGUUUCCCAAAAUAAAUUUGCAUCAACUGAAGUAUCUGCGACAAAAAUUCGAGCAACAUUAAAUCUGGCAAUCCAAUUUGUUUAAAAUUAUAUUUCUGCUAAGAUUUAAUCGUUAUGUCGUUAAAAACAACACACUUUUGCGUUUCAAAUUUACGGACCGAACUUUUGUUUUGGUCCAUUCACAUUCAAAACAUGUCGAAUUCAAGAUGUAGAAAGUUUAGUAUAUUUUUCAGCCAAUUUUUCCUGUAAUAAUUGCAUCAUCUUUCGUUAUGAUAAGCAGUCUUGUGAAGUGCUUAGAUCCUAGUAUAUGUUACGUAUCUCUAUUUUGGUUAUUCUCUUCUCAUAGAUUACCUACGCGUAGUAGGUACUGUCUGUAAGUACCAGUAAAUAUAAUGCAACUUUUAUGAUGUCGAUUAGCAAAAAAUUGAUUCUAGAAAAGUUUCAAAUCGACUGAGUCUUAUCACAAAACUAAUUCACUUUACACAGAAUACUCUGCAGAUGAAUUAAUUUAUAAUCUUGUGAGUACCUUAAAAUUUGAUAAACUUCUAACCCAGUAGUUUGUAUGAUGCAUCAUACAUGCAUUAAAAGGACAAGAGGAUAAAAGUUUACGAGAAGACGAAAUAACCGGCCCCAAGUCAUUAACUCGAUUUCAAGGCGUGAUAUAUAUUUCUAAUAGCCAGUUCAUAAAACAGCGAAUACGAUUUAAGCAAAGUAAAAGUAACCCGAUAAGCAAGAUGUCAUUUGCCAGAGAGAAGGAAUGUAGACGUAACAUACGUAAUUACUUAUAUUUAUAUAAUUUCAAUAGUACCUGUAUUAAUGAUAAUUAUUGUGAAACUUAAUUUAUGGAAUAAGGAAGGAUGACAAAAAUUCAUUCAGCAGUCAUUUUCUGUCUAAUAAGAUAAUUUCGAAUACAAUAGAUAUUUAGUAUUCGCGAAUCCAUUAUUAAUUUAUGUAUCUCAUGUAUCACGUGUUAUAUAGUAUCUUCAUUUACUCUGGUCUUCUACUCUAAUGUAGUAAAAUAAAUCAUUUUAACCACAAA